ACUCCUACGGGAGGCAGCAGUGGGGAAUAUUGCACAAUGGGGGAAACCCUGAUGCAGCCAUGCCGCGUGUGUGAAGAAGGCCUUCGGGUUGUAAAGCACUUUCAGCGAGGAGGAAAGGGUGGAAGCUAAUACCUUUCAUCUGUGACGUUACUCGCAGAAGAAGCACCGGCUAACUCCGUGCCAGCAGCCGCGGUAAUACGGAGGGUGCAAGCGUUAAUCGGAAUUACUGGGCGUAAAGCGCACGCAGGCGGUUCGAUAAGUCAGAUGUGAAAGCCCCGGGCUCAACCUGGGAACUGCAUUUGAAACUGUCUGACUAGAGUCUUGUAGAGGGGGGUAGAAUUCCAGGUGUAGCGGUGAAAUGCGUAGAGAUCUGGAGGAAUACCGGUGGCGAAGGCGGCCCCCUGGACAAAGACUGACGCUCAGGUGCGAAAGCNGUGGGGAGCAAACAGGAUUAGAUACCCUGGUAGUC
rnacentral:rRNA from 1 species